CUUUGUAUGGCCUAAAACAAGCACCCCGGGCAUGGUAUAGUGAGAUUGAUUCUUACUUCAUCAAAAAAGGCUUUCAAAGGAGCAAAAGUGAGCCAACCUUGUACUGUAAUGUCUGUGUGUGGUGCAAUUUAAAAGAAAAAAAAAAAAGAAAAAAAAAAGAAAAGGUGGGACCCACUCCAAUUUUAAGUCUAUGGAAUGGGUAAUGGGUCAUUACAAACCCACUAUUUUUUUUUUUCUUCUUCUCUCUCGGUUUACUCCCUCUCUGCCCGCUUGCUUUUCUUUUUUUUUUCUUCUACACAAUUAAGCUUGAUUUCUCCCUCAUUUGUUGGCGGAUUUAGGUGCCGUUUGAGGCAAAACGAAGCCCAUGACGAGCUCUACGCAUCCAUACGAACAAUUCCAGAUUUGGUGCCCUUCUUGGAGUUCGAAUUUCAAGACCCAUUUUAAGGGUUUUGUGCAAUCUUGAGGUCAUGGCAAAGAAACGGCGGAUGACAAUCCUCCGCAAACUUGAAAGUUGUUAGAAGGUUGUUUGCUAUUUUGUAUUUUGACCAUUCUAUGUAUAUUCAUAGUUGUGGAAAUGUAACUAAGUUAGUAUUCAUGGCCUUGUAAUUUAAGAACGAACUUAUCUUUUGUUUAAUGUAAAUGAAACUAAUGGAAUCAUGGUAUAUAUUUCCAUGUAA